UGGCUCUUGCAUCGAUGAAGAACGCAGCUAAAUGCGAUAGGUAAUGUGAAUUGCAGAAUUCCGUGAAUCAUCAAAUUUUUGAACGCAAAUUGCACUCUCUGGUAUUCCGGGGAGUAUACUUGCUUGAGGGUUAGUGAUUACAAAUCGUGAAAAGAAAU
rnacentral:rRNA from 1 species